GGGGCGGUAGCUCAGUUGGGAGAGCGCGUGCUUUGCAAGCAUGAGGUCAGGGGUUCGAUUCCCCUCCGCUCCA
rnacentral:tRNA from 2 species